AAAAAGACAAACACUGGAUUUCCAUAUCCAACGUUUGAAUGUCCGUUUUAUAUGAAAUUUUUUUAUAAUUAGUAUUUUCAUUGCUGUUAGAUGAUAAAACAUGAUUAAUACUUUAUGCGUGACUUGUCUUUUUAAUUUUUUUUUAUAAUUUUUUUAAAUAAGAUGGACGGUCAAAAUGUUGGACACGAAAACUUAGGAUUUGUCUUUUA
rfam:Oryza sativa Japonica Group DNA, chromosome 11, cultivar: Nipponbare, complete sequence.